GUGUGGUGGGCUACCUGGUCGUCAUGGAGGCGGUCUUGACCGAAGAGCUUGAUGAGGAAGAGCAGCUGGUGAGAAGGCAUCGCAAAGAGAAGAAGGAGUUGCAAGCCAAAAUUCAGGGCAUGAAAAAUGCUGUUCCCAAGAAUGACAAGAAGAGGAGGAAGCAACUCACCGAAGAUGUGGCCAAGUUGGAAAAAGAAAUGGAACAGAAACAUAGAGAGGAACUGGAGCAAUUGAAGCUGACUACUAAGGAGAAUAAGAUAGAUUCUGUUGCUGUUAACAUUUCAAACUUGGUGCUUGAGAAUCAGCCACCUCGGAUAUCAAAAGCACAAAAGAGACGGGUGCCUGGAUAGAAGGAGCUCUCUGUGUUGUCCUUGGUCCCUGCUCUGCUCUUACCAGCUGUAUGGCCUUUGGAAAUCUUUCUGCGUGCUGUUUCCUCAGAAGAGGAAAAUGAGGGGUUUUGGAUUAGAUGAUAUCUAAGGAAAAGAAAGCUGCAUUGGAAAAGGAGCGAGAAGAACGGAUAGCUGAAGCUGAAAUUGAAAACUUAACAGGAGCCAGACAUAUGGAAAGUGAGAAACUUGCUCAAAUAUUAGCAGCUAGACAGUUAGAAAUUAAACAGAUUCCAUCUGAUGGCCACUGUAUGUAUAGAGCCAUUGAAGAUCAACUGAAAGAAAAGGAUUGUGCUCUGACUGUGGUUGCCUUGAGAAGUCAGACCGCUGAGUAUAUGCAAAGCCAUGUGGAGGACUUUCUGCCAUUUUUAACAAACCCUAAUACAGGAGAUAUGUAUACUCCAGGUAAUUUAUUUUUCUUUACUAUGUUUUAUUGUUGCUUUGUUGUAGUUUUUUUUAAGUAAAGUGCUUCCCAGCACUGAGCGUAAGAAGAACCCAGAUGAUCCUUAUGAGGAAAAAACAUCACAAGAUUUAGGCAGAAUUAUUUUCUGUAAUUUUAAUAGAUGUUGGUAUAUUUUUCUCUAUUAAGAUUUCUUAAUUACUUAGUUAUUUUGUAAUUAUAAUAUGCUAAUCAUUUUAUGUAAGAUAGAAAUAGGAAUAAGAUUAAUCAUUUUUGAAAAAAAUGUAAGUUCAUAUUUGACAAAGUGAAGUAUUGAGGAAGGUAAGCUUCAGGAAGUAUAUAUAGGGUCUGAAGACCAUAAGGAGAGAAUGACUAGGAAAACCAUUUCUCCUUUCAUCUUAUAAUUUGGGAACUUUACUUUUAUUCACAAUAAGCUAUAAUUAGGAAGAUUAGUGUUCAAGUAAAACAAAUGAGUUAAUAACCUGCUUUAUUCUAUAUAAUACUUUCACAGUUAAGAUAAAAUAUUUAUGAGGAAGUAAAAAAGUA
rnacentral:sRNA from 1 species